rnacentral:rRNA from 1 species
UUGAAAAUACACAUGACAAGUACACUCCGUUAUUUUUUGGUUGGGGCGACCUAGGAACAGAUAAAACUUCCUAAUAUAUACAAAUUAAUAAAUAAUGAUCCAGUAUAACUGAUUUAUAAAAUAAGUUACCCC